UACGAAGGGCGCUAGCGUUGUUCGGAAUCACUGGGCGUAAAGCGCGUGUAGGCGGCUGGGCAAGUCGGAUGUUAAAUCCCGAGGCUCAACCUCGGAACUGCACUCGAAACUGCCUGGCUCGAGUCCCGGAGAGGGUGGCGGAAUUCCCGGUGUAGGGGUGAAAUCCGUAGAUAUCGGGAGGAACACCAGUGGCGAAGGCGGCCACCUGGACGGUGACUGACGCUGAGAAGCGAAAGCGUGGGGAGCAAACAGG
rnacentral:rRNA from 1 species